AGGAGAGAGACUUUGAAGGCUGUGUAGAGGAACCUGAACCUUCAAUUGACCAACUGGAGUCACAACCAGCCCUUGCAAACAAAUUGAAUUUCAAUCCCGCGUAAGGCAUUUUGUGGAAUCCUACCAUGAUUAAACUCAACACCUCUGGGAAGAGGAGGGCAUGAGACUGAGCCUUGACUUACCCACUAUGAAAGAACUUGACUAGCUCUUAACCACUGCAAACUUCAAUUUCGUCACCUGGAAAAUGAAAGCAAAUUUAUCUGUCUCAUAGGGUUGUUUGGAUUUUCCUAGAUAAAGCGUAUGGCCAAUAUCUAGCAUAUCAUGCAGUGCUCGGGCAAUAUUAGUGUUGUUAUCUCCAGUUUACAAAUGCAGACUGGGAGGCCUCAGCAGAGUAAGUGGCAUGUUCAGAGUCACCUAGGUGGAAAGCAUAGGAACCACAGCUCAAGGUCAAGUGUGAUUGACAGCAGUGUCCUUGCUCUUAAUCACAGGCAUCCUGCCAGAAGUGGACAAUUUCCUCAGGAAGCCUUGCUCAGCUGGGAUGAUAGGGACAGGUUGGGUCCUCAGUCUUCCUUAAGAAGCAGAAACUUCUAGGCUGGAAGUGUAGAGGAGAGGACCCUGGGACAGCCAAGUCAUGCAGAAUUAUGGCUGGCAUCAAGGACAUGUGUCUUUGGUGUUGUUUGUUGCUCUGGGUGGUGAGGUACCCAAAGAGGCCACCUCAUCAGUGCAUUGCUUUAAUCUUGACUCGCCCUGUCGUCAGUCCUUAGAAGGAUGUCGGAAAGGACUGGACUUACUGUGUCACUCCAUAGGAUGCAGCCUGUCCAGUUACAGGUGGAAUAGUCUAUGCUGCAAGGAUGUCCUUUCCCUCUGUCCACCAGUUCACCCUCUUUCUUAUCUCCCUCUCUCUCUUUCUCUGCCUGGCUCUCACUCUUGCUCUGUCUCAGACAUCUAAUGGAAAGAACUAGUUGCAGUCUAGUAUAUUUUGUAAAAUAUAUUUUGAUUUUUAAUUGAUUAUAGUAAUUAUCCAUAUUUAUAGGGUACAGUGUGACAUUAUAAUACAUGUAUACAAGAUGUAUUAAUCAGGCCAGAGUAAUUGGUGUACCUAUUAUCUGAGACAUUUGUCCAUUCUUUGCUUUAGGAACAUUCAAGAUCCUCUCUAAUAGCUAUUUUAAAUUAUUCAAUUAAUUAUUGUCAACUUAAUUAAUCUAUUGUGCUAUAGAACACAAAAAGUUAUUAGUCCUAUACAGCUGCACCCAGUAAGCAUACUGUCUCCCACAUCUUUUCCAGGCUCUGGUAUCCACUGUUCUUUACUUCUAUGAGAUCAACUUUUUAGCUUCUACUAAUGAAUUGGAACAUGCAUUAUUUAUCUUUCCAUGUCUGACUUAUUCCAUUUAACCUGAUGUCCUCUAGUUCCAUCUGUGUUGCUCCAAAUGUCCAAAUUUCCUUUUUUGACUGGGUAAUAUUUCAUUUUGUAUAUAUGCCACAUUUUCUUUAUCUCCUUAUCCAUCACCAUCAACUUAGGUUUAGUUCAUUUGUUGGCUGCUGUGAAUAGACCCAUAGUAAACAACACAGGACAGGUUAUCUCUUCCACACUCUGUUUUCAGUUACUUUGAAUAUAUAGCAACGGGUGGGAUUCCUGGAUCAUAUGGUAAUUCUAUUUCUAGUUUUCUGAG
ensembl:lncRNA